rnacentral:rRNA from 1 species
AGAGUUUGAUCCUGGCUCAGGAUGAACGCUGGCGGCGUGCUUAAUACAUGCAAGUCGAACGAGUGAAUUAGAUUGAUCCCCUCGGGGUGAUUUCUUUGGAUCGAGUGGCGAACGGGUGAGUAAUACAUAGGCAAUCUACCCCAAGGACUGGGAUAACGGUUAGAAAUGAUCGCUAAUACCGGAUAGGUAAUGAGAAGACAUCUUCACAUUAUUAAAGUUGGGUUUCCAACACCAUGGGAUGAGCUUAUGUUGUAUUAGCUUGUUGGUGAGGUAAAGGCCCACCAAGGCGAUGAUACAUAGCUGGUCUGAGAGGAUGAACAGCCACAUUGGGACUGAGACACGGCCCAGACUCCUACGGGAGGCAGCAGUAAGGAAUUUUCGGCAAUGGAGGAAACUCUGACCGAGCAACGCCGCGUGAGUGAUGAAGGUCUUCGGAUCGUAAAGCUCUGUUGUAAAGGAAGAAUGUUAUAAAUAGGAAAUGAUUUAUAAGUGACGGUACUUUACUAGAAAGUCACGGCUUACUACGUGCCAGCAGCCGCGGUAAUACGUAGGUGGCAAGCGUUAUCCGGAUUUAUUGGGCGUAAAGGGUGCGCAGGCGGUUUGUUAAGUUUGAGGUGAAAGCGUUGGGCUCAACCCAAUAUAGCCUCGAAUACUGGCAAACUAGAGUGCAGAAGAGGGUAAUGGAACUCCAUGUGUAGCGGUAAAAUGCGUAGAUAUUGCGCAGAACUCCGAUUGCGAAGGCAGCUUUCCAGCACGCCACUGACGCUCAUGCACGAAAGCGUGGGUAUCGAACAGGAUUAGAUACCCUGGUAGUCCACGCGGUAAACGAUGAUAACUAGUUAUUCGCCAAAAUUGAUUGGUGAGUGACCGAGCGAAAGCGUUAAGUUAUCCACCUGGGGAGUACGCCGGCAACGGUGAAACUCAAAGGAAUUGACGGGGGCCCGCACAAGCGGAGGAACAUGUGGUUUAAUUCGAUGAUACGCGAGGAACCUUACCCGGGCUCAAACGCAUAGUGCUAUCCCCUGAAAGGGGGAGUUCUUCGGACAUUAUGCGAGGUGCUGCAUGGUUGUCGUCAGCUCGUGCCGUGAGGUGUCGGCUUAAGUGCCAUAACGAGCGCAACCCCCAUCUUCAGUUGCCACCGGGUCAUGCCGGGCACUCUGGAGAGACUGCCGGCGCAAGCUGUGAGGAAGGCGGGGAUGACGUCAAAUCAGCACGGCCCUUACGUCCGGGGCGACACACGUGUUACAAUGGCGGGGCUACAGAGGGAAGCCAGGUGGCGACACCGAGCGGAUCCCGAAAACCCGUCUCAGUUCGGAUCGGAGUCUGCAACCCGACUCCGUGAAGCUGGAUUCGCUAGUAAUCGCGCAUCAGCCAUGGCGCGGUGAAUACGUUCCCGGGCCUUGCACUCACCGCCCGUCAAG